UACGUAGGGCGCAAGCGUUGUCCGGAAUUAUUGGGCGUAAAGAGCUCGUAGGCGGUCUGUUGCGUCCGCUGUGAAAACUCGGGGCUUAACCCCGAGCCUGCAGUGGAUACGGGCAGACUAGAGGUAGGUAGGGGAGAAUGGAAUUCCCGGUGUAGCGGUGAAAUGCGCAGAUAUCGGGAGGAACACCAAUGGCGAAGGCAGCUCGCUGGGACGUGACUGACGCUGAGACGCGAAAGCGUGGGGAGCAAACAGG
rnacentral:rRNA from 1 species